rnacentral:rRNA from 1 species
CCCUUAGAGUUUGAUCCUGGCUCAGAAUCAACGCUGGCGGCGUGCCUCAGACAUGCAAGUCGAACGCGAAAGUUCCCUUCGGGGAGCGAGUAGAGUGGCGCACGGGUGAGUAACACGUGGGUAAUCUACCUUUGGAUGGGGAAUAACAACCGGAAACGGUUGCUAAUACCGCAUAAUGCAGCGGCACCUAAUGGUGACAGUUGUUAAAGCGGGGGAUCGCAAGACCUCGCGUCUAAAGAGGAGCCCGCGGCGGAUUAGCUAGUUGGUAAGGUAACGGCUUACCAAGGCGAUGAUCCGUAGCCGGCCUGAGAGGGCGGUCGGCCACACUGACACUGACAUACGGGUCAGACUCCUACGGGAGGCAGCAGUCGGGAAUUUUGGGCAAUGGGCGAAAGCCUGACCCAGCAACGCCGCGUGAAGGAUGAAAUCCUUCGGGAUGUAAACUUCGCAAGAACAGGAAGAAUAAGCCGGUGUAAAUACCACCGGCGAUGACGGUACUGUUUGUAAGCUCCGGCUAACUCCGUGCCAGCAGCCGCGGUAAUACGGGGGGAGCAAGCGUUGUUCGGAUUUACUGGGCGUAAAGGGCGCGUAGGCGGCCUCUGCAAGUCGACUGUGAAAUCUCCGGGCUUAACCCGGAAAGGUCAGCCGAUACUGCAGGGCUAGAGUGCAGAAGGGGCAACUGGAAUUCUCGGGUGUAGCGGUGAAAUGCGUAGAUAUCGAGAGGAACACCUGCGGCGAAAGCGGGUUGCUGGGCUGACACUGACGCUGACAGCGCGAAAGCUAGGGGAGCGAACGGGAUAGAUACCCCGGUAGUCC